AACACUGCAGGAUUUCUAUUCACUUACCAAGCUCAUCUGUAAGUACAAAUUCUAUUAAGGUAUUAAUGCACUCAGUGUGAGAUUUUUUUCUUUCUUUUUUUCCUUAGUUUUUUGGUGUUCUGCAUAUUGUUUUUUAGUUGGUUGGUUUUUUCCCCUUGGAGGAUCAAGUAAAUAUAAGGCUACUUUGGAAAGACGUGGUUGGCUGAGUUUUUUCUUAUGAAUGGAAAGGUGUUGCAGCACAAAAUAAGGAAAAUCAGCGAAGAAGAAAACAGAUGCAGAGCUUACACUGAGCCAUGUGCUGGAAGGAGUGGAGGAAGAAAAAAAAAGUAAAGAAAGCUGAAGUGUAAUAGAAAAUAUCAAGAGUCUGUUUGGACAUCUUUUUUUCAGAAGAUGCAAUUGUAACUCUCCUCAAAGGCACUCGGGGAUGUAAGAGAUUGCCUUACAAAUCAUUCAUUAGGAAUUCAGUUCUAAAGUUAGUCUGUACAUGAAACUUCCAGUAAAGUUGAG
rnacentral:lncRNA from 1 species